CAUAUCAAUAAGCGGAGGAAAAGAAACCAACAGGGAUUGCCCCAGUAACGGCGAGUGAAGCGGCAACAGCUCAAAUUUGAAAUCUGGCCCCUAGGGUCCGAGUUGUAAUUUGCAGAGGAUGCUUUUGACAAGGUGCCUUCCGAGUUCCCUGGAACGGGACGCCAUAGAGGGUGAGAGCCCCGUCUGGUCGGAUACCGCGUCUCUGUAAAGCUCCUUCGACGAGUCGAGUAGUUUGGGAAUGCUGCUCAAAAUGGGAGGUAUAUGUCUUCUAAAGCUAAAUAUUGGCCAGAGACCGAUAGCGCACAAGUAGAGUGAUCGAAAGAUGAAAAGCACUUUGAAAAGAGGGUUAAAAAGUACGUGAAAUUGUUGAAAGGGAAGCGCCUAUGACCAGACUUGGGCCCGGUGAAUCAUCCAGCGUUCUCGCUGGUGCACUUUGCCGGGCACAGGCCAGCAUCAGUUUGGCUUGGGGGAAAAAGGCUUUGGGAACGUAGCUCCUCGGAGUGUUAUAGACCAUUGCAUAAUACCCUGGGCCGGACUGAGGUUCGCGCAUCUGCAAGGAUGCUGGCGUAAUGGUCAUCAGCGACCCGUCUUGAAACACGGACCAAGGAGUCGUCUUCGUAUGCGAGUGUUCGGGUGUAAAACCCCUACGCGUAAUGAAAGUGAACGCAGGUGAGAGCUUCGGCGCAUCAUCGACCGAUCCUGAUGUUCUCGGAUGGAUUUGAGUAAGAGCAUACGGGGCCGGACCCGAAAGAAGGUGAACUAUGCCUGUAUAGGGUGAAGCCAGAGGAAACUCUGGUGGAGGCUCGCAGCGGUUCUGACGUGCGAAUCGAUCGUCAAAUAUGGGCAUGGGGGCGAAAGACUAAUCGAACCUUCUAGUAGCUGGUUUCCGCCGAAGUCCCCC
rnacentral:rRNA from 1 species